CUUGUAUGAAUGGUGUAUCCAUAAUUUCUGAAGAGAAUAUGGAAAGAAGAAGAGACUUGAAGUACUGAAACAAUAGAAAACAGAAAUCAGUGGUAGUGAAUAUUUCACAAAGGGGGCCAGUAAUUCCUUUGUGAAACUAUGCCAGACUGGUGGACAUAAGUUAAAUCAGCAAUGAAUUAAGUCAGUAAUGCCACAGCUUCCAUCCACAAAGAUUGGACUGCCCAGAAGGGCUUUUCCAAAAUUGGUUCAACCAACCAGUAAAUCAAGAAGGAUUCAUUAAAGCAUUUCACCACAAGGCACUGUUUAUAAAAAAAUGGAAUUGCUGGGUCAUAUGGUAACUCUAUGUUUAGUGUUUGGAGGAACUACCAAACUAUUUCCAAAGUGGCUUCACAGUUUUGCAUUCCCACCAGCCAUGUGUGAAGGUUUUAAUUUCUCCACAUCAUUACCAACACUUCUUAUUGUCUCUUUGAUUAUAACCAUCUUAACUCUGGAAGUUUUUGUGUGCAGGAGAGCAGGACUGAAAAGCUUUGGCAGGAAGGUCUUUGCAGCAGCCUGCCUGUCGAACUGCAUGGAUCAACAAUUUCUCAAUUAGAAGAAGAUAGACGAGAAGAUAAAGCAUGCGGUGACUGUAAAGCUUCAAGCAGCAGCUGAGGAAGAUUUUGGAACAUCUGGUCGGAAUCGAUUUCUUUUUAGGUCUGGAGAGAUUGGGGUAGCAUGUGGCAUUCCCACUGGAAGUCCCCCCUAGUCCUUUGGAGUCCUAUCAAUAAGAACAUUUGUCCGCUAUAUCAAAUCCAUUUUUAAGAACCUGUUCAGGAUGGCAGUGUAAAAGAUCAUUCACAAAAAUAAAACCCAAUUCAGGAUGUUUCUAAUUUUUCCUACACGAAAUUUAUUUUGAGCAAGAGAUGCCCUCAACACAAAACUUCUCUGUUUCUUAAUUUUAAAAAUUGAUUCUUUGCAUAUGUGACUCAUUCCUUUGCUUUGUUAAUUUUAAAAUUUCUUUCAUUUUGGGCAAUAAAUGCUGAAUUAAUU